rnacentral:rRNA from 1 species
UGCUUAACACAUGCAAGUCGAACGGCAACACGGUUCUGUACUUGAUACGGAGCUGGUGGCGAGUGGCGAACGGGUGAGUAACGCGUAGGAAUAUGCCUUAAAGAGUGGGACAACUUGAGGAAACUCAAGCUAAUACCGCAUAAGCUCUGAGGAGGGAAGCUGGGGACCGAAAGGCCUGGCGCUUUAAGAAUAGCCUGCGUCCGAUUAGCUAGUUGGUGGGGUAAGGGCCUACCAAGGCGACGAUCGGUAGCUGGUCUGAGAGGAUGGCCAGCCACACUGGGACUGAGACACGGCCCAGACUCCUACGGGAGGCAGCAGUGGGGAAUAUUGGACAAUGGGGGGAACCCUGAUCCAGCAAUGCCGCGUGUGUGAAGAAGGCCUGAGGGUUGUAAAGCAC